UACAGAGGUCUCGAGCGUUAGGCGGAAUCACUGGGCUUAAAGCGUGUGUAGGUGGAUCGUUAAGUACCUUGUGAAAUCCCACGGCUUAACCGUGGAACUGCUUGGUAUACUGGCGGUCUUGAGCCAGCUAGGGGGCUACCGGAACAAAUGGUGGAGCGGUGAAAUGCGUAGAUAUCGGGAAGAACAUCGGUGGCGAAGGCGGUCUGCUGGGCCGUUGCUGACGCUGAGGCGCGACAGCGUGGGGAGCAAACAGG
rnacentral:rRNA from 1 species